rnacentral:rRNA from 1 species
CGUGUAGGCGGUAUCAUAAGUCAGUGGUGAAAGCCCAUCGCUCAACGAUGGAACUGCCAUUGAUACUGUAAGACUUGAAUUUUUGUGAAGUAACUAGAAUAUGUAGUGUAGCGGUGAAAUGCUUAGAUAUUACAUGGAAUACCAAUUGCGAAGGCAGGUUACUAACAAACGAUUGACGCUGAUGGACGAAAGCGUGGGGAGCGAACAGGAUUAGAUACCCGAGUA